rnacentral:rRNA from 1 species
AGAUACUGAUCGGAUCGCCCGGGCUCAGGUCUGGCGACCCAUCGAUCAGGCCCAUCAAGCCAAAGAAGGUGGAGGAGGUGUAGGCGCCGCCGACCUGCGAAUGAUAGGUCAAGCUCGGCCUGACCUUGGCGUCAAAGCUUGCUUCAGCAUCCUUGCGGCUAAUGCGACCCUUCUUGCUCAGCAGGGUUUUGUGCGCGCGAUAGGCCAUC